AGCACACUCCUUAGAUCCACCUCUGGAGGGCACUGUUCUUUGAGCAGAGCUCCUCAGCAGCUUUCCUGGCUGUACAGUUGGAGGUGCUUGAGUCAUUGGUGUGCAAGAACAGUCUACCUGUCCCCCAGCCCACCUGCUGCACUGGCAACCCUGCCAUCAGGCAGGGAGCUCCCAGUGCUGCGAGCCUGGGGGGCGGACACA
rnacentral:snoRNA from 1 species